GUGCCAGCAGCCGCGGUAAUACGUAGGUGGCAAGCGUUGUCCGGAUUUACUGGGCGUAAAGGAUGUGUAGGCGGAUAUUUAAGUGAGAUGUGAAAUCCCCGGGCUUAACUUGGGGGCUGCAUUUCAAACUGGAUGUCUAGAGUGCAGGAGAGGAACGCAGAAUUCCUAGUGUAGCGGUGAAAUGCGUGGAGAUGAGGAACAAGACCAGUGGCGAAGACGGCUUUCUGGACUGUAACUGACGCUGAGGCAUGAAAGCGUGGGGAGCAAACAGGAUAAGAUACCCUGG
rnacentral:rRNA from 1 species